rnacentral:rRNA from 1 species
GUCGAGAAUAAUUCACAAUGGGGGAAACCCUGAUGGUGCAACGCCGCGUGGAGGAUGAAGGUCUUCGGAUUGUAAACUCCUGUCAUCUGGGAGUAAGACCUGACGGUGAAUAGCCGGCAGGGUUGAUAGUACCAGAAGAGGAAGGGACGGCUAACUUCGUGCCAGCAGCCGCGGUAAUACGAAGGUCCCAAGCGUUGUUCGGAAUCACUGGGCGUAAAGGGAGCGUAGGCGGCGUGGUAAGUCAGAUGUGAAAUCCCGGGGCUCAACCCCAGAACUGCAUCCGAUACUGCCAUGCUUGAGGGUUGGAGAGGUAGCUGGAAUUCUCGGUGUAGCAGUGAAAUGCGUGGAUAUCGAGAGGAACACUCGUGGCGAAGGCGAGCUACUGGACAACAUCUGACGCUGAGGCUCGAAGGCCAGGGGAGCAAAAGGGAUUAGAUACCCGAGUAGUCC